rnacentral:rRNA from 1 species
AUUGAACGCUGGCGGCAGGCCUAACACAUGCAAGUCGAACGAGUUGCGGACGGGUGAGUAAUGUCUGGGAAACUGCCUGAUGGAGGGGGAUAACUACUGGAACCGGUAGCUAAUACCGCAUACCAUCGGAUGUGCCCAGUUGGGAUUAGCUAGUAGGUGGGGUAAAGGCUCACCUAGGCGACGAUCCAUAGCUGGUCUGAGAGGAUGACCAGACACACUGGAACUGAGACACGGUCCAGACUCCGACGGGAGGCAGCAGUGGGGAAUAUUGCACAAUGGGCGCAAGCCUGAUGCAGCCAUGCCGCGUGUAUGAAGAAGGCCUUCGGGUUGUAAAGGACUUUCAGCGGGGAGGCGUUACCCGCAGAAGAAGCACCGGCUAACUCCGUGCCAGCCGCCGCGGUAAUAC